rnacentral:rRNA from 1 species
AUUGCCCUAGUAACGGCGAGUGAAGCGGCAACAGCUCAAAUUUGAAAGCUAGCCUUCGGGUUCGCAUUGUAAUUUGUAGAGGAUGAUUUGGGGAAGCCGCCUGUCUAAGUUCCUUGGAACAGGACGUCAUAGAGGGUGAGAAUCCCGUAUGUGACAGGAAAUGGCACCCUAUGUAAAUCUCCUUCGACGAGUCGAGUUGUUUGGGAAUGCAGCUCUAAAUGGGAGGUAAAUUUCUUCUAAAGCUAAAUAUUGGCGAGAGACCGAUAGCGCACAAGUAGAGUGAUCGAAAGAUGAAAAGCACUUUGGAAAGAGAGUUAAAAAGCACGUGAAAUUGUUGAAAGGGAAGCGCUUGCAAUCAGACUUGUUUAAACUGUUCGGCCGGUCUUCUGACCGGUUUACUCAGUUUGGACAGGCCAGCAUCAGUUUCGGCGGCCGGAUAAAGGCUCUGGGAAUGUGGCCUCCACUUCGGUGGAGGUGUUAUAGCCCAGGGUGUAAUACGGCCAGCCGGGACUGAGGUCCGCGCUUCGGCUAGGAUGCUGGCGUAAUGGUUGUAAGCGACCCGUCUUGAACC